rnacentral:lncRNA from 1 species
CUAGUCUGGGGCAGAGUGUGUUGUGUGUAACCCCAGUAGGGAUGAGGGAGACAUGGAGCAGACUGACCUCACGUCAUGAUGGAUGGAUGGAAAGUGAAGGACAGCGCCAGGCUGGCCAGCCCUGAUGUUGCGUCUCACAGGGCAAAAGGGUCCUGACCUCCCAGUAAGAGAAGACUUCAGGGGUGGUGCCAGCACGACCUGGACAUAGUCCUGCCAACAAGCCUCCACUGUGAAGCAGGCCGCCUUGGGAAGCUCCCAUAGUUAUACCAGGGCCAGAAGCCUUCUACCCAGGGCUCCUUGCAGAGGAUAAUUCAAAGACUGGAGGAAAGGCCAUACCUUCCCAUCUGGCUGCCAUAUCUAGUGUACUCUGAGGCAGACACAGACGCCCCUUCCUGGGUCCCAAUCUCCCCACGGUAUGUCCAUCUGUCUCCCAGGAGACCCACCUCUACCUUCCCAGACAGAACCCUUCUUGUUCCCAUAAACCUCCACUAAAUCUCGUCACACUGAGCCUUGUGACUCCCUUGCAUGUCACUGUCCCUUCUUAGCAUACACUGUCCUUCCUGCCUCGAAUGGUCUCUUCCAUUGGCCAGCCUGUCAACUGCUACUAACCUGGCUUCAGUGUCCCGUUACUGCUAUUUCAGGACCUGGGGAAUCAAGGCAGUAGAGGCCUUGCCUGACUCAGCCCUUUUGAACUGUCAAGAUAGGGAACCUGGGACCGUCAGGGUCGCUCGGCCGGGAAAGGAAGGCCUUCAAGUCUCACAGUCUGAGUUUGAUCCUGGGACCCAAGUUGAGCGAGGAAAAAAAAGAUUCCUG